AGUUAAAAUGGUCUGGGAAACUGCCUGAUGGAGGGGGAUAACUACUGGAAACGGUAGCUAAUACCGCAUAAUGUCGCAAGACCAAAGUGGGGGACCUUCGGGCCUCAUGCCAUCAGAUGUGCCCAGAUGGGAUUAGCUAGUAGGUGGGGUAACGGCUCACCUAGGCGACGAUCCCUAGCUGGUCUGAGAGGAUGACCAGCCACACUGGAACUGAGACACGGUCCAGACUCCUACGGGAGGCAGCAGUGGGGAAUAUUGCACAAUGGGCGCAAGCCUGAUGCAGCCAUGCCGCGUGUGUGAAGAAGGCCUUCGGGUUGUAAAGCACUUUCAGCGGGGAGGAAGGCGUUAAGGUUAAUAACCUUGGCGAUUGACGUUACCCGCAGAAAAAGCACCGGCUAACUCCGUGCCAGCAGCCGCGGUAAUACGGAAGGGUGCAAGCGUUAAUCGGAAUUACUGGGCGUAAAGCGCAAGCAAG
rnacentral:rRNA from 1 species